GAUGCAGGGAACCACCACGUUGUACGGCAACCAACGUGCCGCCCCUCUGUGGGCGGGGAUUCACACUAGCUGUCUGUGUCAAGGCCACGCAGAAAUCUAUUGGAAAUCGCUGUGGAAACAAACGCAAAUGAAAAGCCGCAAAGAGCAAAGGGCUGCUCACUGGCCCGUCUCCUCUCAUGACUGCUGCUCUGGGAACCACCUCUCUGCUCUCCAUCGCUACCACUCUAGCCUGUGGCCUGCUCCUGGUUGAAGAAGCCAUCAAUGAAAAUGAAUACCACUCUGGAAAUCUUGGGUGGUCUGACCUGAUAUUUUCGCAUAGUGGCCACAGAUAUUUUAGGCCCCCAAGAGGUAGUCUUACUCUUUCAAUUUUACUGGCUCCACUGUUUGAGGAACUUGGAACAAUUUCCCCAGGGACUGGUCUGGAGGUACUGUUGAAUAACACCACGGUGUUUUUUUUCCUCUCCACCAAGGGCCCGUUGAUGUCUCAAGACCAGACAUAAAACUUUUGGUGCUCAAGUCACUCAGAAUGAGAGUCCUGCUUUCCCUCAGCACUCUUGCCCUUUGAGGGUGGGGCCAAAUGUUUUCUUCCUUUCUUACUGAGGACUUUUGAUCCUGGUUUUUGAUAUUUGUCAUUCCCAGGGGGAAUUUUGUACCCUGUGUCUUGGUAAAGUGUAAGACCACUGUGGAUUUUGGGGUUAAGUCUCAUUUCCCUAUCCCUCCCUUCAAGAGAAGAAAGAAAGAGAGAAUACCCAAACCCUGCAUCGUCUCUCACUCGCCUGUCCAGAGCCUAUGGAACAGCCAUUGGGGCAGCUGUCACAAGCUGUUCACACAGCUUUUCUGAUAUACUGACAGUCUCAUGAGGAAGUGCAUAUAACUCCCUGCAAUGGUUUGAAUGUGUCCUCCGAAGUUUAUGUGCUGGAAACUUAAUACUCAAUACAACAGUGUUGACAGGAAAUAAAAAUCUGUCCAUGGGCCCUAAACAUAUUGUGAGUCUCUAGUCGCUGUGCCCUUUGUGCCUGCUGGGGAUAUUGGCCCUGGCAACAGGAUGAACAUGGACCACUGGAGCCUGGAAUUCUGCCACUGAGAGAUUCCCCGGGAGCAUGGCUUUCUUUUCUUUCCUGGGUUCCGUGGAUUCUCUCCUUCUCCUGAGGGAAUUAGCCUCCUUACUGUCAGACCAGCCACAGAACUUCCUCCCACUUAUCCCUUAGAUGUCAACUACCCACACUUCAAAUCACCCUGGAGACUGAUGUGACUGGGAUGAUUUGACUGCAUGUAGGUCAGAGCUGCCUCCAGGCAACUUGUGGGGCCAAGGCUCUGUGGCUAGAAGGAAGUGAGCAUUAAUACAUCACUUAGAACAGCAAAAAUCAUCAUCUGAAGAUCAUCAUCUGAAAAGAUCAGCAUCAGAAGAGCUGUGAAUAUCACCGAUCUGAUAAUUGGGUAUUUUUGGUAAAACACACACACACACACACACACACACACACACACACACACACGCACAGAUGCACACAGCCCUGCUUUUAUGAGAAUUGAGCUUAAAUAGAUGUGGGUGGAGGUUUUACUGAACUGGAUAUUUCUUAACUUUUGGAGUACAACACCUAGUCUCCUAAUUCCUGUCCUGCAUAGCGUGCUUACACAGUAUUUUAAAAUUAGAGAUAAUUAAAUUUGAUUUUGUUUCAAUAAUUAUUUUGACAGUUUUAAAAUAUCUUUUGGAAUUGUUUGUACCAUUCCAGUCCUUUUCAAAUCCAAGACUGAAAUGAAUUUUUCUAGCUAUUUAUCCCAUCUUUGAGUUAAGAACAUAGGUCCUUGCGUUUCAGUUUAAUAGGUGAUUCUUUAAAAUUUGUUUAUUUAUUUAGAAGCAGGGUCUCACUAUGUUGCUGGCUGGUCUUGAACUUCUGGGGUCAAGUGAUCCUCUCACCUCAGCCUCCCAAGUAGCUGGGAUUACAGGUGUGAGCCACUGCACCUGGCUCUAAUAGUUGAUUUUUGAAACCAUAUGGAACAUUUCAAGUUAAUAAAAAUUUUUAAUUAAAAAAUAUGUGCACAAUUCACAGAUGAUCAGUCUUUUGGAAUUAUUAUAGAAUAUUUUUGACAAUAAAACUAUGCUGAACUCAAUCUUUUCUUAAUGAUUAUGAAGAUAUUUUCUGAUUGCAAAACUAUGAAAAUUAAUGGUCAUUGUGAUAUUGUUGUGAGUCUAGGUCAAUGUGGAGUUCUGGAGACAGAAUAAUACCUAAAGUAGAUCUGUUUUUUACUUUGGGAACUGAUUAUAACACCUGGAAAUUAUGUGUUAUAUUAUUUAAUUAAAUGAGACAAUGUAUAUAAAUAAACCAAGCAUUGGGGCUUGGCACAUAGUAUUUUUCAGUCAAUGAGAGAAGAGUUUGAAUAUGAAAUUUUUUAUGCACUGGGGAGUAACUUCCUAGAUCUAUUUCUCUAUGUACUUCCUCUCUGUCAAUCUCACUCAUUCAACAAUACUUACUAAGCAUAUACUAUUAAUAUUAUAUUGCAUUGAUUCUAAAUCAGACACAUAGUCACAUUUUAUUAACUCUAAAACUGUGAUCAGUUUUAACAUUGCUGGUGGCUUACAAAUACUGUCAGCUAGAAGCAAUCAUGAUGUACUAGUUGGCUAUUCUUUUUGGUGGCACAAUUGGAUAACUGAGCCCCUUCGUGUUUCUGUCAACUGACGUUUAUGUUUGAGGAAGGCACAUGAAUCAGGGCCAUUGUUUGAAAUCUAACCUUUGGCAAAAAUCGGUAAGGAACUAGCCCUCAAACUUGCCUAAUGGUAGGUGUCAGCGGCUUGGAUGAAAAUUCCCAGGGAUAAUAGAGGAGUACUCUUUUAAGAAAUAGUGUAGCACCAACACUCUAGAUGGUACAGAAGAUGGAUACUGUGGGAAAGUCAGGGACACUGAUCACUCUAUUUGAAAGGUAAUUCAGCAAAUUUAGACUCACACAUAUAAAGAAGUUUAGAAAAUUGAACCAAUUACUUUUGUUUAUAUUUUUCUUUUUAUGUAUGUGUAAGAGAUAAGAUAAAUAUCUGUGACUAAAUAUGUCUCUUAUACCAAAUAGAAAAAUAUAUCCAAGAAGAAAUUAUAAUGUCAUUGUUUUAUUAAGCAUUAUGUCAUGCUUUUUGGAGGCAUUUCCACCCUUUUUUAUCUUUCUUAAUGGUAUAUAAAAUUGCAGUGCAUUUCACCAUCAGUGGUUCAUUGGAUUCGGUGAAGUCUAAGUAACUGCUGGACCUUGCGUUAGGCUUUUUAGAUACAAUUAAUUAAGCAAAUAUUUAUUUAUUUAUUUAUUUAAAUUGAGAUGGAUUCUUGCUCUGUCGCCUACGGUGAAGUGCAAUGGCACCAUCUCGGCUCACUGCAACUUCCGCCUCCCAGGUUAAAGCGAUUCUUCCACCUCAGCUUCCCAGGUAGCUGGGAUUACAGGCACUCGCCAUCAUGCCCAGCUAAUUUUUGUAUUUUUGUAGAGAUGGGGUUCUACCAUGUUGGCCAGUCUGGACUUGAACUCUUGACCUCAGGUGAUCCACCCGCCUUGGCCUCCCAAAGUACUGGGAUUACAGGCGUGAGCCACCACACCCGGCAGCAAAUAUUUAUUGAAUGCCUACUGUGUGCCCCAAGCUGUUCUAGGUGCUAUAAAUGGGCCAGACAAGCUGUCAGGGAGGUUGCCCUGGCUGGGAAGACAGACAUCAGACAACAUAAUUCCAGAGCUGGAUAAAUACUAGGGAGAAAAACAAAUGUGUGAUGUAUUAUAAUGGAUAUUGCAAUAAACACUGGGAUUUAAGACACA
rnacentral:lncRNA from 1 species